rnacentral:rRNA from 1 species
UGGGGAAUAUUGCGCAAUGGGGGGAACCCUGACGCAGCCAUGCCGCGUGAAUGAAGAAGGCCUUCGGGUUGUAAAGUUCUUUCGGUAUUGAGGAAGGUUGAUGUGUUAAUAGCACAUCAAAUUGACGUUAAAUACAGAAGAAGCACCGGCUAACUCCGUGCCAGCAGCCGCGGUAAUACGGAGGGUGCGAGCGUUAAUCGGAAUAACUGGGCGUAAAGGGCACGCAGGCGGUUAUUUAAGUGAGGUGUGAAAGCCCUGGGCUUAACCUAGGAAUUGCAUUUCAGACUGGGUAACUAGAGUACUUUAGGGAGGGGUAGAAUUCCACGUGUAGCGGUGAAAUGCGUAGAGAUGUGGAGGAAUACCGAAGGCGAAGGCAGCCCCUUGGGAAUGUACUGACGCUCAUGUGCGAAAGCGUGGGGAGCAAACAGGAUUAGAUACCCUGGUAGUCCACGCUGUAAACGCUGUCGAUUCGGGGAUUGGGCUUAGAGCUUGGUGCCCGUAGCUAACGUGAUAAAUCGACCGCCUGGGGAGUACGGCCGCAAGGUUA